GCCGCGGUAGCUCAGUGGUAGAGCACAAUUCUGAAAAAAUUGGGGGCGGUGGUUCGAUUCCACUCCGCGGCA
rnacentral:tRNA from 1 species